ACUUUGUAACGUUCGUCUUGUUCAACGAAUAUUUGGAUUGUGAAUUAUGCCGAGAGGAAUAAUUAGAUGAGUGAUAAUUGAGACGUAUAUUACUGGAAAUUUUACGUAGAAUACGUUUAUGAUAUUGGUUUUAGGGAUAUUUGAAGAAUACUCAGUGAAAAAGUGUCUCAACUUUUCAGUGCGGAAGACGCAAAAUGGCGCUUUUUUUCUUGUUUGUGAAUAAUGGAUAUUUGUUAUUAUUCAUAGUGAAAUACGUUGUGUUAAAUGUGUGAAAAUAUAAGUGAAUGUAUUUGGCAAUCGUGUAGUGAUAUGAAAACGUGAAUAUGAUCAUUUGAUGACUCACCAUUAUCAUUUUACUGCUUGCUGAUGAAGAUGCUAUGGAGCUUGGAAGAUGACAGCGCUUCAAAGGCGAUGAUGACAGAUGCCAUACUAGGGACGCGCUCUUGCUAGUGAGGUGAAAGAUCCAUCGAUAUUUGGUAAGGUGACCCAAUUUGCAUAGAGAUAUAUAGGAUUCAUAGACUGCUUUCUUCAUCCAACGCUGUGUGUUUUAUUCGACACAUAAUACAUGUUUUGUUUUAAUGCAAAACAUCAAUAUU